rnacentral:rRNA from 1 species
CCUACGGGGGGCAGCAGCUAAGAAUCUUCCGCAAUGGGAGCAAUCCUGACGGAGCGAUGCCGCGUGGAUGAUGAAGGCGGAAACGUUGUAAAAUCCUUUUAUAUGGGAAGAAUAAUUAUGGUGAGAGAAACGCCGUAGGAUGACGGUACCAUAUGAAUAAGCUUCGGCUAACUACGUGCCAGCAGCCGCGGUAAUACGUAGGAAGCAAGCGUUGUUCGGAAUUAUUGGGCGUAAAGGGCAUGUAGGUGGUUUGAUAAGUGUGGAUUUAAAGACCGGGGCUUAACUCCGAGUUCGGUCUGCAAACUGUCAAACUAGAGUGUAGAAGGGGAGAGUGGAAUUCCGCGUGUAGGGGUGAAAUCUGUAGAUAUGCGGAAGAAUACCGGUGGCGAAGGCGACUCUCUGGUCUACAACUGACUCUAAAAUGCGAAAGUGUGGGGAUCAAACAGGAUUAGAUACCCUUGUAGUC